UACGGGGGGGGCAAGCGUUGUUCGGAAUUACUGGGCGUAAAGGGCUCGUAGGCGGCCAACUAAGUCAGACGUGAAAUCCCUCGGCUUAACCGGGGAACUGCAUCUGAUACUGGAUGGCUUGAGAUUGGGAGAGGGAUGCGGAAUUCCAGGUGUAGCGGUGAAAUGCGUAGAUAUCUGGAGGAACACCGGUGGCGAAGGCGACAUCCUGGACCAACACUGACGCUGAGUGAGCGAAAGCCAGGGGAGCAAACGGG
rnacentral:rRNA from 1 species